AUCGCGACAGCGGGAGAGUCCGGUUCGUGAACCACGUACCGGCGCCGAAGGAGCAACUGCCCCGGAAACUCUCAGGCCACCGGACCGCCGUCGCGUC
rnacentral:ncRNA from 2 species